rnacentral:rRNA from 1 species
CAGGCCUAACACAUGCAAGUCGAGCGCUUGGGGUGUUCCCUUACGGGAAACCCCCUGGAGCGGCGGACGGGUGAGUAACACGUAGGCAACCUGCCUGUAAGAUCGGGAUAACUACCGGAAACGGUAGCUAAGACCGGAUAGCUGGUUUCUCCGCAUGGAGGGAUCAUGAAACAUGGGGCAACCUAUGGCUUACGGAUGGGCCUGCGGCGCAUUAGCUAGUUGGUGGGGUAACGGCCCACCAAGGCGACGAUGCGUAGCCGACCUGAGAGGGUGAUCGGCCACACUGGGACUGAGACACGGCCCAGACUCCUACGGGAGGCAGCAGUAGGGAAUCUUCCGCAAUGGGCGCAAGCCUGACGGAGCAACGCCGCGUGAGUGAUGAAGGUUUUCGGAUCGUAAAGCUCUGUUGCCAAGGAAGAACGCCUCGGAGAGUAACUGCUCUGAGGGUGACGGUACUUGAGAAGAAAGCCCCGGCUAACUACGUGCCAGCAGCCGCGGUAAUACGUAGGGGGCAAGCGUUGUCCGGAAUUAUUGGGCGUAAAGCGCGCGCAGGCGGUCUUUUAAGUUUGGUGUUUAAGCCCGGGGCUCAACCCCGGUUCGCACUGAAAAACUGGGAGACUUGAGUGCAGGAGAGGAAAGCGGAAUUCCACGUGUAGCGGGUGAAAUGCGUAGAGAUGUGGAGGAACACCAGUGGCGAAUGCGGCUUUCUGGACUGUAACUGACGCUGAGGCGCGAAAGCGUGGGGAGCAA